rnacentral:rRNA from 1 species
UACGGAGGGUGCGAGCGUUGUCCGGAAUUACUGGGCGUAAAGCGUGCGCAGGCGGUUCGUUGUGUCGGUGGUGAAAGCCCCGGGCUUAACCUGGGAAUGGCCGUCGAAACUGGCGAACUGGAGUGUGGCAGAGGGGGGUGGAAUUCCGCGUGUAGCAGUGAAAUGCGUAGAGAUGCGGAGGAACACCGAUGGCGAAGGCAGCCCCCUGGGCUGACACUGACGCUCAGGCACGAAAGCGUGGGGAGCAAACAGG